rnacentral:rRNA from 1 species
AUGUGUGUGGGGGGCAAUAGCGCACACACGCAGCAUCAGUGUGAGGGCAGGAGCACACACGCAGCAACACAUACACAUGCACCAACACACACGCACGCGCACAUACACGCAACAACACGCACGCGCGCGUGCACACACACACGCACACACACGCAGCAACACACAUGCACGCGCACACACACGCAUGCAGCACACACACACGCAGUAGCAACACACACGCAGGCAGCACAUAGGCACACACGCAGUAGCAAACACACACGCAAAGCUCGAGUAGACUGUCAUGCUCGUCUGUGUAUCGCAAAGCUGAGAAAUGCUGUGUAG